rnacentral:rRNA from 1 species
GACGAACGCUGGCGGUAGGCCUAACACAUGCAAGUCGAACGGCAGCACAGAGGAGCUUGCUCCUUGGGUGGCGAGUGGCGGACGGGUGAGGAAUACAUCGGAAUCUACUCUGUCGUGGGGGAUAACGUAGGGAAACUUACGCUAAUACCGCAUACGACCUACGGGUGAAAGCAGGGGACCUUCGGGCCUUGCGCGAUUGAAUGAGCCGAUGUCGGAUUAGCUAGUUGGCGGGGUAAAGGCCCACCAAGGCGACGAUCCGUAGCUGGUCUGAGAGGAUGAUCAGCCAAACUGGAACUGAGACACGGUCCAGACUCCUACGGGAGGCAGCAGUGGGGAAUAUUGGACAAUGGGCGCAAGCCUGAUCCAGCCAUACCGCGUGGGUGAAGAAGGCCUUCGGGUUGUAAAGCCCUUUUGUUGGGAAAGAAAUCCAGCUGGCUAAUACCCGGUUGGGAUGACGGUACCCAAAGAAUAAGCACCGGCUAACUUCGUGCCAGCCGCCGCCGUAA